rnacentral:rRNA from 1 species
GACGAACGCUGGCGGCGUGCUUAACACAUGCAAGUCGAACGGUAAGGCCCUUCGGGGUACACGAGUGGCGAACGGGUGAGUAACACGUGGGUGAUCUGCCCUGCACUUCGGGAUAAGCCUGGGAAACUGGGUCUAAUACCGGAUAGGACCACUGCCUGCAUGGGUGGUGGUGGAAAGCUUUUGCGGUGUGGGAUGGCCCGCGGCCUAUCAGCUUGUUGGUGGGGUGAUGGCCUACCAAGGCGACGACGGGUAGCCGGCCUGAGAGGGUGACCGGCCACACUGGGACUGAGACACGGCCCAGACUCCUACGGGAGGCAGCAGUGGGGAAUAUUGCACAAUGGGCGCAAGCCUGAUGCAGCGACGCCGCGUGAGGGAUGACGGCCUUCGGGUUGUAAACCUCUUUCAGCACCGACGAAGCGCAAGUGACGGUAGGUGCAGAAGAAGGACCGGCCAACUACGUGCCAGCAGCCGCAGUAA